rnacentral:lncRNA from 1 species
AGAUACACUGGGUAGGGCUGAUUAUGGAGGAGGAACGGGAAGUUCUACCAGGAGUCGCUGUACUGUAUUCACGGCUCUUGUUAUAUGAUUUAUGCUGGCAUUAUCUAAACUGAGAAGCGGACAAUCCUUUAUUCAAAGGCGAGCUCCCUCUAUUUUGUGUUGCCGCUCAUGGAGUCCUAAGGUCGGAGCCCCAUAGGAGCUGCCAGCAGAGUCCCAAUGGAGGUGAGCGGCUCAUUUCAGCUCGGGCAUUCUGCUUCUACUGGAGGGCACUCUGCUGGAAUAUGUGAGGGAUGAAGACAGUGAAAGAAUACCAAGCGGGAAACUGAAUCAAUGCAUGUGCCAUCUUGGAAACCAAAAAUUAAAAGAUCAGCUUGCUGGAGAUAUUUAAUCAAUCUUGCUGUGCAUAUUAAAUGUGCAUUCAAAGAAAAA